rnacentral:rRNA from 2 species
AGCGUACACGGUGGAUGCCCUGGCAGUCAGAGGCGAUGAAGGACGUGCUAAUCUGCGAUAAGCGUCGGUAAGGUGAUAUGAACCGUUAUAACCGGCGAUUUCCGAAUGGGGAAACCCAGUGUGAUUCGUCACACUAUCAUUAACUGAAUCCAUAGGUUAAUGAGGCGAACCGGGGGAACUGAAACAUCUAAGUACCCCGAGGAAAAGAAAUCAACCGAGAUUCCCCCAGUAGCGGCGAGCGAACGGGGAGCAGCCCAGAGCCUGAAUCAGUGUGUGUGUUAGUGGAAGCGUCUGGAAAGGCGCGCGAUACAGGGUGACAGCCCCGUACACAAAAAUGCACAUGCUGUGAGCUCGAUGAGUAGGGCGGGACACGUGGUAUCCUGUCUGAAUAUGGGGGGACCAUCCUCCAAGGCUAAAUACUCCUGACUGACCGAUAGUGAACCAGUACCGUGAGGGAAAGGCGAAAAGAACCCCGGCGAGGGGAGUGAAAAAGAACCUGAAACCGUGUACGUACAAGCAGUGGGAGCACGCUUAGGCGUGUGACUGCGUACCUUUUGUAUAAUGGGUCAGCGACUUAUAUUCUGUAGCAAGGUUAACCGAAUAGGGGAGCCGAAGGGAAACCGAGUCUUAACUGGGCGUUAAGUUGCAGGGUAUAGACCCGAAACCCGGUGAUCUAGCCAUGGGCAGGUUGAAGGUUGGGUAACACUAACUGGAGGACCGAACCGACUAAUGUUGAAAAAUUAGCGGAUGACUUGUGGCUGGGGGUGAAAGGCCAAUCAAACCGGGAGAUAGCUGGUUCUCCCCGAAAGCUAUUUAGGUAGCGCCUCGUGAAUUCAUCUCCGGGGGUAGAGCACUGUUUCGGCAAGGGGGUCAUCCCGACUUACCAACCCGAUGCAAACUGCGAAUACCGGAGAAUGUUAUCACGGGAGACACACGGCGGGUGCUAACGUCCGUCGUGAAGAGGGAAACAACCCAGACCGCCAGCUAAGGUCCCAAAGUCAUGGUUAAGUGGGAAACGAUGUGGGAAGGCCCAGACAGCCAGGAUGUUGGCUUAGAAGCAGCCAUCAUUUAAAGAAAGCGUAAUAGCUCACUGGUCGAGUCGGCCUGCGCGGAAGAUGUAACGGGGCUAAACCAUGCACCGAAGCUGCGGCAGCGACGCUUAUGCGUUGUUGGGUAGGGGAGCGUUCUGUAAGCCUGCGAAGGUGUGCUGUGAGGCAUGCUGGAGGUAUCAGAAGUGCGAAUGCUGACAUAAGUAACGAUAAAGCGGGUGAAAAGCCCGCUCGCCGGAAGACCAAGGGUUCCUGUCCAACGUUAAUCGGGGCAGGGUGAGUCGACCCCUAAGGCGAGGCCGAAAGGCGUAGUCGAUGGGAAACAGGUUAAUAUUCCUGUACUUGGUGUUACUGCGAAGGGGGGACGGAGAAGGCUAUGUUGGCCGGGCGACGGUUGUCCCGGUUUAAGCGUGUAGGCUGGUUUUCCAGGCAAAUCCGGAAAAUCAAGGCUGAGGCGUGAUGACGAGGCACUACGGUGCUGAAGCAACAAAUGCCCUGCUUCCAGGAAAAGCCUCUAAGCAUCAGGUAACAUCAAAUCGUACCCCAAACCGACACAGGUGGUCAGGUAGAGAAUACCAAGGCGCUUGAGAGAACUCGGGUGAAGGAACUAGGCAAAAUGGUGCCGUAACUUCGGGAGAAGGCACGCUGAUAUGUAGGUGAAGUCCCUCGCGGAUGGAGCUGAAAUCAGUCGAAGAUACCAGCUGGCUGCAACUGUUUAUUAAAAACACAGCACUGUGCAAACACGAAAGUGGACGUAUACGGUGUGACGCCUGCCCGGUGCCGGAAGGUUAAUUGAUGGGGUUAGCGCAAGCGAAGCUCUUGAUCGAAGCCCCGGUAAACGGCGGCCGUAACUAUAACGGUCCUAAGGUAGCGAAAUUCCUUGUCGGGUAAGUUCCGACCUGCACGAAUGGCGUAAUGAUGGCCAGGCUGUCUCCACCCGAGACUCAGUGAAAUUGAACUCGCUGUGAAGAUGCAGUGUACCCGCGGCAAGACGGAAAGACCCCGUGAACCUUUACUAUAGCUUGACACUGAACAUUGAGCCUUGAUGUGUAGGAUAGGUGGGAGGCUUUGAAGUGUGGACGCCAGUCUGCAUGGAGCCGACCUUGAAAUACCACCCUUUAAUGUUUGAUGUUCUAACGUUGACCCGUGAUCCGGGUUGCGGACAGUGUCUGGUGGGUAGUUUGACUGGGGCGGUCUCCUCCUAAAGAGUAACGGAGGAGCACGAAGGUUGGCUAAUCCUGGUCGGACAUCAGGAGGUUAGUGCAAUGGCAUAAGCCAGCUUGACUGCGAGCGUGACGGCGCGAGCAGGUGCGAAAGCAGGUCAUAGUGAUCCGGUGGUUCUGAAUGGAAGGGCCAUCGCUCAACGGAUAAAAGGUACUCCGGGGAUAACAGGCUGAUACCGCCCAAGAGUUCAUAUCGACGGCGGUGUUUGGCACCUCGAUGUCGGCUCAUCACAUCCUGGGGCUGAAGUAGGUCCCAAGGGUAUGGCUGUUCGCCAUUUAAAGUGGUACGCGAGCUGGGUUUAGAACGUCGUGAGACAGUUCGGUCCCUAUCUGCCGUGGGCGCUGGAGAACUGAGGGGGGCUGCUCCUAGUACGAGAGGACCGGAGUGGACGCAUCACUGGUGUUCGGGUUGUCAUGCCAAUGGCACUGCCCGGUAGCUAAAUGCGGAAGAGAUAAGUGCUGAAAGCAUCUAAGCACGAAACUUGCCCCGAGAUGAGUUCUCCCUGACUCCUUGA